rnacentral:rRNA from 1 species
CCCGGGGGGGGCUUGGAAAUGGGGGAAUUGUGAGCGCAGAAGGGGAGAGGGGAAUUCCCAUGUUGAGCGGAAAAUUGCAGAGAGAUGGGGGAGAACCCCCUGUCGAAAAGGGGUCUCUCGGCUCUGUCACACGCCGCAGAUGCGAAAAAGCGGGGAGAGCACACGAGUUUGAGAUCCCGUUAUUGUCCACCCUGUAAGAUGAGAGCUAAAAGUUUGAGGGGGUUUCGCGCCCCUUGUGCUGCCGAGCUCGCGCUAUACACUCUGCGUCGGGAGUAUGCGCGCACGGGUGUGACUCUAAAGGAUUGACGCGGGCGCGCACAAACGGUGGAGCAUAUGGUUUUUUAUUGAAACAACGCGCAGAAACCUAUCACAUCUUGAGAUACCUUGAGCGCUCCAGAGAGAGAGUCCUUUCCCUCCGGGGACAAAGUGACAGGUGGUGCAUGGUUGUCGUCAGCUCGUGUCGUGAGAUGUUGGGUUAAGUCCCGCAACGAGCGCAACCCUUAAGCUUAGUUGCCAUCAUUAAGUUGGGCACUCUAGGUUGACUGCCGGUGACAAACCGGAGGAAGGUGGGGAUGACGUCAAAUCAUCAUGCCCCUUAUGAUCUGGGCUACACACGUGCUACAAUGGAUAAUACAAAGGGCAGCGAGUCCGCGAGGUCAAGCAAAUCCCAUAAAUUUAUUCUCAGUUCGGAUUGUAGUCUGCAACUCGACUACAUGAAGCUGGAAUCGCUAGUAAUCGUAGAUCAGCAUGCUGCGGUGAAUACGUUCCCGGGUCUUGUACACACCGCCCGUCACACCACGAGAGUUUGUAACACCCGAAGUCGGUGGAGUAACCUUUUAGGAGCUAGCCGUUCGAAGGUGGCAACGGG